UACGGGAGGCUGCAGUCGAGGAUCAUUCGCAAUGGGCGAAAGCCUGACGAUGCGACGCUGCGUGGAGGAUGAAGGCCUUCGGGUUGUAAACUCCUGUCAUGAGGGAAGAGGCGAGGGGGCCCAACACGUCCCUUAGUUGACUGUACCUCAAGAGGAAGCGACGGCUAACUCUGUGCCAGCAGCCGCGGUAAU
rnacentral:rRNA from 1 species